rnacentral:rRNA from 1 species
ACCAUGCAGUCGAACGCAUCCUUCGGGGUGAGUGGCAGACGGGUGAGUAACACGUGGGAACGUACCCCUUUGUUCGGAAUAACCCUGGGAAACUAGGGCUAAUACCGGAUACGGCCGAGAGGCGAAAGGUUUACUGCAGAGGGAUCGGCCCGCGUCCGAUUAGCUAGUUGGUGUGGUAAUGGCGCACCAAGGCGACGAUCGGUAGCUGGUCUGAGAGGAUGGCCAGCCACAUUGGGACUGAGACACGGCCCAAACUCCUACGGGAGGCAGCAGUGGGGAAUAUUGGACAAUGGGCGCAAGCCUGAUCCAGCCAUGCCGCGUGAGUGAUGACGGCCUUAGGGUUGUAAAGCUCUUUUACCUGGGAAGAUAAUGACGGUACCAGGAGAAUAAGCCCCGGCUAACUUCGUGCCAGCAGCCGCGGUAAUACGAAGGGGGCUAGCGUUGUUCGGAUUUACUGGGCGUAAAGGGCGCGUAGGCGGACUGAUAAGUCAGGGGUGAAAUCCCAAGGCUCAACCUUGGAACUGCCUUUGAUACUGUUUGUCUUGAGUUCGAGAGAGGUAAGUGGAACUGCGAGUGUAGAGGUGAAAUUCGUAGAUAUUCGCAAGAACACCAGUGGCGAAGGCGGCUUACUGGCUCGAAACUGACGCUGAGGCGCGAAAGCGUGGGGAGCAAACAGGAUUAGAUACCCUGGUAGUCCACGCCUUAAACGAUGGAUGCUAGCCGUCGGGCAGCUUGCUGCUCUGUGGCGCCGUUAACACAUUAAGCAUCCCGCCUGGGAGUACGUCGCAGA